CACGUAGGGGACGAGCGUUGUCCGGAAUUACUGGGCGUAAAGCGCACGUAGGCGGCGUAGCAAGUUAGAUGUGAAAUGCCUGGGCUUAACCUAGGAACUGCAUUUAAGACUGCUAUGCUAGAGACCGGGAGAGGGUGGCGGAAUUCCCAGUGUAGAGGUGAAAUUCGUAGAUAUUGGGAAGAACACCGGUUGCGAAGGCGGCCACCUGGACCGGCACUGACGCUGAGGUGCGAAAGCGUGGGGAGCAAACAGG
rnacentral:rRNA from 1 species